GCAUCCAUAGCUCAGUGGAUAGAGCAUUUGGUUGCGGUCCAAAAGGUCGGGGGUUCGAGUCUCUCUGGAUGCA
rnacentral:tRNA from 1 species